rnacentral:rRNA from 1 species
ACGCUAGCUACAGGCUUAACACAUGCAAGUCGAGGGGAAACGACAUCGAAAGCUUGCUUUUGAUGGGCGUCGACCGGCGCACGGGUGAGUAACGCGUAUCCAACCUGCCCACCACUUGGGGAUAACCUUGCGAAAGUAAGACUAAUACCCAAUGACGUCUCUAGAAGACAUCUGAAAGAGAUUAAAGAUUUAUCGGUGAUGGAUGGGGAUGCGUCUGAUUAGCUUGUUGGCGGGGUAACGGCCCACCAAGGCAACGAUCAGUAGGGGUUCUGAGAGGAAGGUCCCCCACAUUGGAACUGAGACACGGUCCAAACUCCUACGGGAGGCAGCAGUGAGGAAUAUUGGUCAAUGGACGAGAGUCUGAACCAGCCAAGUAGCGUACAGGAUGACGGCCCUAUGGGUCGUAAACUGCUUUUAUAAGGGAAUAAAGUGAGUCUCGUGAGACUUUUUGCAUGUACCUUAUGAAUAAGGACCGGCUAAUUCCGUGCCAGCAGCCGCGGUAAUACGGAAGGUCCGGGCGUUAUCCGGAUUUAUUGGGUUUAAAGGGAGCGUAGGCCGGAGAUUAAGCGUGUUGUGAAAUGUAGACGCUCAACGUCUGCACUGCAGCGCGAACUGGUUUCCUUGAGUACGCACAAAGUGGGCGGAAUUCGUGGUGUAGCGGUGAAAUGCUUAGAUAUCACGAAGGACUCCGAUUGCGAAGGCAGCUCACUGGAGCGCAACUGACGCUGAAGCUCGAAAGUGCGGGUAUCGAACAGGAUUAGAUACCCUGGUAGUCCGCACGGUAAACGAUGGAUGCCCGCUGUUGGUCUGAAUAGGUCAGCGGCCAAGCGAAAGCAUUAAGCAUCCCACCUGGGGAGUACGCCGGCAACGGUGAAAC